rnacentral:RNase_P_RNA from 2 species
CCAGGAGGCUGGGCAGCCGCGUCGGAGCGUAAGUUUCGCCGAGGAAAGUCCGGGCUCCACGAAACAAGGGUGGCGGGUAACGCCCGCCGGGUGAGGAGGUUCGCUUCCGAGCUCAGGGAAAGUGCCACAGAGAGUAUACCGCCGAUGGCCCGCGCUCCUGCUUGCAGGUUUGGGGGCACAGGCAAGGGUGAAAGGGUGCGGCAAGAGCGCACCGGGCGACCGGCAACGGAAGCCGCAUGGCAAACCCCACCCGGAGCAAGACCGCAUAGGGGUCUCGAGCCUUUUAGGCAGGGGAGUUUCGCCCCGAGAGACCCGGGUUGGUUGCUAGAGUGGCGGAGCAAUCCGUCGCCAAGAUGAAUGGCUGCCCCCACGUGGCCGGUCCCCUAGGGGAUACCGCGCGCGGGACAGAACCCGGCUUACAGGCCUCCUGGCACU